UCCUCGGUUGUGUCUCUUCAUUGC
rnacentral:siRNA from 1 species